ACAAAACAAUAUUCAUUUUCAACCUAUAUGCUACCCGGCUAUAGUGCAUAAACAUAAAUCCUAACACUCAGGGAGGGAUAUGUUUCUAAAUGUGGAUCAAAUUGUUACAAUUACAGAACGUGAACGCUACACCAAGGCGUUGGUGAGAAAAAUGGAGGAAGAAAUAAACUACUUUUUCCACAUAGCAUUACAACUACAAAGCUGACGCUGGUUAGCUAGCUUAUUUUCAUUUAAAAAGCAUGGCUAGUUAGCUAGCAAUAGUCUUCUGUCUAGCCUGUAACUAAUGGUUUUUACGUUGUGGAACAGAGCAAUAGUUUUUUGUACUUGUUAUUUGGUUGAGAUUAACAUUCGUUUAGAAAAUAAUUGUUUACUUUGUGUAUAUUUGUUGUGUAAUUGGUUGGCUUUGCUAGUUAGCAAGCUGAGAUUUAUGUGCUAAAGUUGGUCAAUUUAGCUAAUGUUUUAGGAGAACAGACUAGCUCCCUGCAGAAUCUAGACAAUAAAGAAUGGGGAAUAAGAUCUGGCUGUUGCAGUGCCCAGACGAGGUGAGAGCAAACUGCUACAGAGAUAAAAGAAUCUACAAAUGCUAUUUUUCAACGAGUGCCACGGACGAACGAGGGGGAGGAAAUCUGACAGCUUCUUUCUACCACACCUUCACCAAGUCAUACAAUGUUUGCUUCAUGAAUAAUUGUUACAUCAGAAAUAAAUACAGAAUUGUUUUAGUUUAUUCUGUUUUUUUUAUGCUGGAUGUGAGUAAUUUAGCAGGUGUGUAAUAUAAUGUAUUGUUUUGAAACUUUAUUAAAUCUACCUAUUCAGUCAAAACUCACUUUUGUUUGAUAAAAUGUUUGUUUUGUACUGUUUCUUUUUACAUACUGAAACAGUCUCAUUAGAUUUGAGCUAGACAAUGAUCAGGGAAAUGUCUACUACGCUUUUUAAAAUGUUGAUGAAUGAAAUCAGCACUGUUU